rnacentral:rRNA from 1 species
GGCAGCAUCCAUAACACCCUGAAACUCGCAACUGGCAACCCAGAGAAGCUAAACAGGUGCGAGCCUGGAUAGUACCUCAAUGGGAGACCUUCUGGGAAAAACUAAGGUUGCUGCUGGAA